UGCCUACGGGGGGCAGCAGUGGGGAAUAUUGCACAAUGGGGGAAACCCUGAUGCAGCGACGCCGCGGGGGUGAAGAAGUAUUUCGGUAUGUAAAGCCCUAUCAGCAGGGAAGAAGAAAUGACGGUACCUGAGUAAGAAGCACCGGCUAAAUACGUGCGAGCAGCCGCGGUAAUACGUAUGGUGCAAGAGUUAUCUGGAUUUACUGGGUGUAAAGGGAGCGCAGGCGGCACGGCAAGCCUGAUGUGAAAGCCCGCGGCACAACCGAGGGACGGCAUUGGGAACUACCGGGCUGGAGUGCCGGAGAG
rnacentral:rRNA from 1 species